GCCCAUCCGGUCCACGUGGCUCCCGCUGGCGCUCAGACUGCCCGUCAUGCCCCCCAUCCGGUCCACGUGGCUCCCGCUGGCACUCAGACUGCCCGUCAUGCCCCCCAUGCUGGGGUUGUUCCUGGUGUCUGCCACAGAGGUCGUGUCUGAGGAGACGGGGGAGGGAGCAAGAGGUCGUGUCUGAGGAGACGGGGGAGGGAGCAAGAGGUCGUGUCUGAGGAGACGGGGGAGAGAGCAAGAGGUCGUGUCUGAGGAGACGGGGAGGGAGCAAGAGGUCGUGUCUGAGGAGACGGGGGAGAGAGCAAGAGGUCGUGUCUGAGGAGACGGGGAGGGAGCAAGAGGUCGUGUCUGAGGAGACGGGGGAGGGAGCAAGAGGUCGUGUCUGAGGAGACGGGGGAGGGAGCAAGAGGUCGUGUCUGAGGAGACGGGGGAGAGAGCAAGAGGUCGUGUCUGAGGAGACGGGGGAGAGAGCAAGAGGUCGUGUCUGAGGAGACGGGGGAGAGAGCAAGAGGUCGUGUCUGAGGAGACGGGGGAGAGAGCAAGAGGUCGUGUCUGAGGAGACGGGGGAGAGAGCAAGAGGUCGUGUCUGAGGAGACGGGGGAGAGAGCAAGAGGUCGUGUCUGAGGAGACGGGGGAGAGAGCAAGAGGUCGUGUCUGAGGAGACGGGGGAGAGAGCAAGAGGUCGUGUCUGAGGAGACGGGGGAGAGAGCAGGAGAUCUAGAAGGUCUGUAACGAGGUCUUUCUCUGGUUGGUUCUCUCCCUCCUACGGCCUCGUCUUUUCUAGAAGGUCUGUAGUCAAACCUCGCCUUUUCAACAUUCUCCUCCUCUAGGAGGGUCAGAGGUCAUCAGAGUCCAGUCACAAUGAGUCAGCUAACACAACUCAUUCAGACUAAACGGUCUGUCUGUCUGUCUGUGUG